GACGAACCGAGCGAACGUUGUUCGGAAUCACUGGGCUUAAAGGGCGCGUAGGCGGGCUGCCAAGUCUGGGGUGAAAUCCCACGGCUCAACCGUGGAACUGCCUCAGAUACUGGUGGCCUCGAGGGAGGUAGGGGCAUGCGGAACUAUGCGUGGAGCGGUGAAAUGCGUUGAUAUGCAUAGGAACUCCGGUGGCGAAGGCGGCGUGCUGGACCUCUUCUGACGCUGAUGCGCGAAAGCCAGGGGAGCAAACGGG
rnacentral:rRNA from 1 species